GUAGGAAUACCCGCUGAACUUAAGCAUAUCAAUAAGCGGAGGAAAAGAAACCAACAGGGAUUGCCCUAGUAACGGCGAGUGAAGCGGCAACAGCUCAAAUUUGAAAUCUGGCUCUCGGGCCCGAGUUGUAAUUUGUAGA
rnacentral:rRNA from 1 species